GACAGAGGAGCCAAGCGUUGUCCGGAUUGACUGGGCGUAAAGCGCACGCAGGCGGACGCGCGCGUGGGGUGUGAAAUCUGGCCGCUUAACGGCCAGGCGCCAUCCCAUACGGCGCGUCUGGAGUGAUGCAGAGGUCGAUGGAAUUGCCGGUGUAGUGGUGAAAUGCGUAGAGAUCGGCAGGAACACCCAGGGGGAAACCAGU
rnacentral:rRNA from 1 species